UACGUAGGAGGCGAGCGUUGUCCGGAAUUACUGGGCGUAAAGGGCUCGUAGGUGGCCAACUAAGUCGGACGUGAAAUCCCUCAGCUUAACUGGGGAACUGCGUCCGAUACUGGAUGGCUUGAGUUUGGGAGAGGGAUGCGGAAUUCCAGGUGUAGCGGUGAAAUGCGUAGAUAUCUGGAGGAACACCGGUGGCGAAGGCGGCAUCCUGGACCAACACUGACACUGAGGAGCGAAAGCCAGGGGAGCAAACGGG
rnacentral:rRNA from 1 species